GGGGGUAUAGCGCAGCUGGGAGCGCGCUUGACUGGCAGUCAAGAGGUCAGGGGUUCAAGUCCCCUUAUCUCCACCA
rnacentral:tRNA from 1 species